UACGGAGGAUGCGAGCGUUAUCCGGAUUUAUUGGGUUUAAAGGGUGCGUAGGCGGGAUGCCAAGUCAGCGGUCAAAUACGGGGGCUCAACCUGCGUCCGCCGUUGAAACUGGCGUUCUUGAGUGGGCGAGAAGUACGCGGAAUGCGUGGUGUAGCGGUGAAAUGCUUAGAUAUCACGAAGAACUCCGAUUGCGAAGGCAGCUCACUGGACUGCAACUGACACUGAGGCUCGAAAGUGUGGGUAUCAAACAGG
rnacentral:rRNA from 1 species